UGGGGAAUAUUGGACAAUGGGCGAAAGCCUGAUCCAGCCAUGCCGCGUGUGUGAAGAAGGUCUUCGGAUUGUAAAGCACUUUAAGUUGGGAGGAAGGGCAGUAAGCGAAUACCUUGCUGUUUUGACGUUACCGACAGAAUAAGCACCGGCUAACUCUGUGCCAGCAGCCGCGGUAAUACAGAGGGUGCAAGCGUUAAUCGGAAUUACUGGGCGUAAAGCGCGCGUAGGUGGUUCGUUAAGUUGAAUGUGAAAGCCCCGGGCUCAACCUGGGAACUGCAUCCAAAACUGGCGAGCUAUAGUAGGGCAGAGGGUGGUGGAAUUUCCUGUGUAGCGGUGAAAUGCGUAGAUAUAGGAAGGAAAACCAGUGGCGAAGGCGACCACCUGGGCUCAUACUGACACUGGGGUGCGAAAGCGUGGGGAGCAAACAGG
rnacentral:rRNA from 1 species